UACGUAGGGUGCAAGCGUUGUCCGGAAUUAUUGGGCGUAAAGAGCUCGUAGGCGGUCUGUCGCGUCGGCUGUGAAAUCCCGAGGCUCAACCUCGGGUCUGCAGUCGAUACGGGCAAACUGGAGUGUUGCAGGGGAGACUGGAAUUCCUGGUGUAGCGGUGAAAUGCGCAGAUAUCAGGAGGAACACCGGUGGCGAAGGCGGGUCUCUGGGCCGAUACUGACGCUGAGGAGCGAAAGCAUGGGUAGCGAACAGG
rnacentral:rRNA from 1 species